GGAAAUAUACUUUAAUGAAGAAGAUGUAGUUUGCAACUAAAUAGUGAUGGUACUAUCUAUUUCUA
rnacentral:tRNA from 1 species